rnacentral:rRNA from 1 species
CUGGCUCAGGACGAACGCUGGCGGCGUGCCUAAUACAUGCAAGUCGAGCGGACUUGAUGAGGAGCUUGCU